CCUACGGGAGGCAUCAGUGAGGAAUAUUGGUCAAUGGGCGCGAGCCUGAACCAGCCAAGUAGCGUGAAGGAUGACUGCCCUACGGGUUGUAAACUUCUUUUGUAAAAGAAUAAAGUGAGACACGUGUGCCUGUUUGUAUGUACUGUAUGAAUAAGGAUCGGCUAACUCCGUGCCAGCAGCCGCGGUAAUACGGAGGAUCCGAGCGUUAUCCGGAUUUAUUGGGUUUAAAGGGAGCGUAGAUGGUUGGUUAAGUCAGUUGUGAAAGUUUGCGGCUCAACCGUAAAAUUGCAAUUGAUACUGGCAGCCUUGAGUGCAGUUGCGGUAGGCGGAAUUCGUGGUGUAGCGGUGAAAUGCUUAGAUAUCACGAAGAACUCCGAUUGCGAAGGCAGCUUACUAAGCUGCCACUGACAUUGAUGCUCGAAAGUGUGGGUAUCAAACAGGAUUAGAUACCCUAGUAGUC
rnacentral:rRNA from 1 species